CCAUUUGAAAUUCAACAAUAAACUCAUUAUCCUCAUUCCAUACAUGAUCACUGAUUGAAUUUUAAGCAUUGGAAAGUUGCAUGCAAAGAGAGAAGUAAUUAGUUUGGUGAAGUAUUGAGAAACCUUAAGAAGUUCUUGAGACAUAUUUGCAGAAUGAGACCAGAAAGAAUCUUCGUUUUUGCACUGUAGUAAUGCAAGAUUGCUCUGCAGUGAGGAAACUAGACACUUAAGAAUAUAAAUCAUUCUGCACUCUCCUUACAGUCCAAAUAUGACUCCAUCUGGCUUACAUUGUCACAAAAUUAAACAUAGUAUUAUAAACAGAGUUCCUAUGCACCUGGAAAGUCAAGGAAUUUGCUACCUUGGCUGUCUUGUUGAUUUUUUGCUGACAGUAUGCUUGACUAAUUGUUGCAGUCAGCAAGAAGGAAUGUGAUGUGCUGGUCAGGGAAUUUGUACAAAGUUGGUCAAGAGAAGUCGGGGAAUUUAAAACAAAAAUUUGAGUAGGAACCCUGUAUAAAAAGUCAAUAGUUUUUGACGUUUUGAUGGAUGUGGAAGUUCAAACUGCUGUACAUGAAUAAAUUAAGGAAAAAUUCACUGUAAAUGAAGGUUAUGUUAAAAAAUUAAUAUGUAUGAAGAAAAAUAAGUUUUUACUGCGUAAACCUGGUCACAUUAUUCUAUCUCUAACCAAACUAAUUUUUAAAAAAUGGAGAAUGAACAUGAAAGGGUUGAUCAAUAAAGCAUAAACUAUUUUGUAACACGUAUAUAGCAGCAGUUAAAGAAGAAAUUGUAUAUAUAUAAGUAUUUUUAUUCAUUUAAAAUAAAAAUUCUCUAGUAUGUAAGUUUAUUAACUAAAAAAAGAAUUGUUUCAGGUUUGGAUCGGAUGUCAAAAGUGAUAAAACAGUCAAAUCCUUGUCGGGAAGUAUUGGUGCAGCCCCCAUCGAUUUAGAUUGUUUAAAGAAAAGAGCCGAGAGGUUUGGACAAAAUGUCUCUACUAUCAUGAAAGAGAUUGAAGAAAAAACCCGAAUCUUGAAGAGAAAAGAACGAUUUGGUGUGCCUGUAAUAUCUACAGAGAGUAAUGAGGAAGAGCGGAAGAGGAAGAGAGCGGAACGAUUCAACUUGAUAUGAAGCUAGAUGUUUUUUAAAGCCGUAGUUAAAAGAACGAAGAAUUUCGUCCGACAACAGGAAGCGGAACAAGAAAACAGCAUCCACACUUUGGCUCGGAGCAACUAUCGUGGAA